UAAAUAAUGUAUGUGUGACUAUAUACCUUAUUUUCCUUCCUACCUAAAAACUCUUCUGAAUUUGAUAGGCCAAAAACUAGAAUCUAAAUUCCUGAGGACAAAUCAAUGCAUGACCUAGAGAUAUUAAAACAUAGAAUUAUUUUCUCAACAAUAGCAAUAAUUUUCAAUUUUCCAGAUGUAUCAAUUUCUGCCCCUUGAAUACAAAGUCCUCCAGUCAGAAAAGCAAUUCUGUCUGCUUAUAUAAAAUAAUAAUAAAUGGAAAGCCUCUACUAUCUAUUUUGGAAUUAUCUAACAUGUUUAAUAUGUUAUUUUACUUAAUAUCAUGUGCUACCACUGUGUACAAAGGUAGUAAUUCAAAUGGAAAAAUUCUGUUACUUAAAAUACCAAGAACCUUAAAAUGCAUUUUUAAAAUAAUUGAAUUGUUCUCCCUGGAAUAGACUUAUGUGAUUCCCCACUUUGUUUCGAUAUGGGUCCCUGGGGAAUAACAGUCAUGCUGUUACUCUUGGAUAUUUCACUAGCUUACAAAAUAAAAUAACACACAGUGUACUUAAUAUAAAGUUGUCAACAUUAACUUGAAUAAGUUGCUGUUUGUUUUGCAUUGACAUAGCUUCUAAAGAUAAGAAUUACAAUAUUCUUAGACGUACAAACACAACAGCAAAACAGCCUGAAGGAAUUAAAGCUUGAAAAUGCUAGAGGCAAUCAUGCUUUGAGAUGAAGAUAAAUCAGUAUCAUUAGGCACACAUAUAUAUUUCUGUAAAGGUCCUAAAUAAUGCCAGAACAAUCUUUGGAUUUUAUGCAAUGCUUAUCCAUCUUCCUUCACAAUAUAUCAAAUGCACUUUUAACUAUUUAAUGUAUCCCUGUAAAGACUUUGAAUUUCACUUUUUGAAACUCAUUACUCAUUUGGUAAUGAGUAAUCCCUCCGCUAUUACAAGAAACUGGAAUAAGCAAAAUCCAAGUACAUGGAUUGAAAUUAUUAGUAAAAAGUUUAUCAAAAGGGCAACACUAGCAAAACAGAAACAAAGUGUGUUAAUAAUGAACUAAAUAAGAGCCAAAAUUCCCACUUUCUGGAACAGAGCCAUCUUCAGCAGAACGCAUCCACCUCUCGGGAGCGCCCAUCCGAGUUUCUCCUUCACAUCUCACCCCACAAAUAACCUACUUACCUCUGCUUUGGCGUCCCAAGCUCGCUCAACCGAGUCUCUCCUCCAAGAAACAAUCUCCUUCCUACUUUCUCCACCCUCAUCAGAUCCCUUAGGCACCCUUACUUUCUCUAAACUACUGAAUUCAGAACUGCAGCCCAGUUUGCUAGGAACCUCCCCACACGCACGUUUCCCUUGUUCUAUAUCUGCUUUGUAAAUCGCUGCCACCGAACAAACAAAAUAUUAACGAAAGUAGGGUUACAAACCGUUUUUUUUUUAAUGUUAUAGCAGUAAAAUGUCGAGACGGAGAUGAAAAGUAGGAGUGUAUUUAAAGGAAAUGGGUGGUGAGUAGCUACACACAGUGGAACGCCGGGGUCAGACCCACCACGGCUUCCCCACCUUUCGACCCCACUUUCCCCCAUGUGCUUGUCGCGGGAUGACAACCACAGCACUCCAGAACCACCCCCUCCGGAAAGUAGGCGGGGUUACGCCUUCAGCCAAUCAGGGCCCGCGAGCCCCAGGUGUCCAACCUAUGGGGUGGCCGUGGCCGUGCAGGGGGAGGACAUGGGGUAGCGGGGAGGGGCCGCGUCUUUAGGAGGCGCGCACGUGUCCAGUCCGGAGAGGCGGCAGGCGUCCAGGUCCCGAGGCGCGGGCUGUGCACCCUGGCAGCCGCCUAGUCCAGCUGCCCAGUGCCUCUUUUGCCUCGGACUCGGCUGGGCAAGACGUGCUGCCGCCAAGGAAGGAAGACCCGUCCAAGGUGUCUGACUUCCCAGGCCCACUCCCCUCCGAGCCUCUGUCCCCGAGCGGGGGCGGGGGCGGGACCGGGGAACCCCGGCUCCAAGCCUAGAUGCCCCAGGGAUGCCGAGGGCCCCGGAGCUGCUUACCUGGGACGGCGAUACGGAGAGCAGAGGUAGCCCGCCGCGCGGAGCCCGGUGCUGGGCGCGGCGCGGCUCCUCCUCGUCUCGGCGUCCUCCUCCUCCGCUUCUCCCGGACUCCGUCCCGGGCACGGAGCUGCAAACGGGGCCGGGCUGCAGCUGCCGUUCUCUUCGCUGCCUCCGCCGCCGCCGCCGCCGCUGCCGCAGACAGAGGACGCCCCGUGGCGACUGGAAGCCGGUGCGAGAAAUCCGUAAACUCGGGUAAGGAGGAUCGAACACGCGUCUUGCGUCGGAGAGCUGCCCGCCAGGCAGAGGCAGAGGAGGCGGGGAGAGCAGUGCGGUGCGCGCGGUCUCCGGAUUCGAGCUGGGCUCAGGCCUGCCAAG